UCACCUGGUCAGGACCCCCGACGUUGG
rnacentral:sRNA from 1 species